CAGUCGCCGCGGUAAUACGUAGGGUGCAAGCGUUAAUCGGAAUUACUGGGCGUAAAGCGUGCGCAGGCGGUUAUAUAAGUCAGAUGUGAAAUCCCCGGGCUCAACCUGGGAACUGCAUUUGAGACUGUAUGGCUAGAGUGUGUCAGAGGGGGGUAGAAUUCCACGUGUAGCAGUGAAAUGCGUAGAUAUGUGGAGGAAUACCGAUGGCGAAGGCAGCCCCCUGGGAUAACACUGACGCUCAUGCACGAAAGCGUGGGGAGCAAACAGGAUUAGAUACCCCUGUAGUCCCUGUCUCUUAUAC
rnacentral:rRNA from 1 species